rnacentral:rRNA from 1 species
ACGGGUGAGUAACGCGUGGGUAACCUGCCCUGUACACACGGAUAACAUACCGAAAGGUAUGCUAAUACGAGAUAAUAUGCUUUUAUCGCAUGGUAGAAGUAUCAAAGCUCCGGCGGUACAGGAUGGACCCGCGUCUGAUUAGCUAGUUGGUAAGGUAACGGCUUACCAAGGCGACGAUCAGUAGCCGACCUGAGAGGGUGAUCGGCCACAUUGGAACUGAGACACGGUCCAAACUCCUACGGGAGGCAGCAGUGGGGAAUAUUGCACAAUGGGCGAAAGCCUGAUGCAGCAACGCCGCGUGAGCGAUGAAGGCCUUCGGGUCGUAAAGCUCUGUCCUCAAGGAAGAUAAUGACGGUACUUGAGGAGGAAGCCCCGGCUAACUACGUGCCAGCAGCCGCGGUAAUACGUAGGGGGCUAGCGUUAUCCGGAAUUACUGGGCGUAAAGGGUGCGUAGGUGGUUUCUUAAGUCAGAGGUGAAAGGCUACGGCUCAACCGUAGUAAGCCUUUGAAACUGGGAAACUUGAGUGCAGGAGAGGAGAGUGGAAUUCCUAGUGUAGCGGUGAAAUGCGUAGAUAUUAGGAGG